UUGUUGGUAAGGUAAAAGCUUACCAAGGCUUCGAUCAGUAGCUGGUCUGAGAGGACGACCAGCCACACUGGGACUGAGACACGGCCCAGACUCCUACGGGAGGCAGCAGUGGGGAAUUUUGGACAAUGGGGGCAACCCUGAUCCAGCCAUGCCGCGUGAGUGAAGAAGGCCUUCGGGUUGUAAAGCUCUUUCAGCCGGAACGAAACGGUUACGGUUAACACCCGUGACUACUGACGGUACCGGAAGAAGAAGCACCGGCUAACUACGUGCCAGCAGCCGCGGUAAUACGUAGGGUGCGAGCGUUAAUCGGAAUUACUGGGCGUAAAGCGUGCGCAGGUGGUUUUGUAAGUCAGAUGUGAAAGCCCCGGGCUCAACCUGGGAACUGCGUUUGAAACUACAAGACUAGAGUGUGGCAGAGGGGGGUGGAAUUCCGCGUGUAGCAGUGAAAUGCGUAGAGAUGUGGAGGAACACCGAUGGCGAAGGCAGCCCCCUGGGUCAACACUGACGCUCAGGCACGAAAGCAUGGGGAGCAAACAGGAUUAGAUACCCUGGUAGUCCAUGCCCUAAACGAUGUCAACUAGUUGUCGGGCCUUUACGGGCUUGGUAACGUAGCUAACGCGUGAAGUUGACCGCCUGGGGAGUACGAUCGCAAGAUCAAAACUCAAAUGAAUUGACGGGGACCCGCACAAGCGGUGGAUUAUGUGGAUUAAUUCGAUGCAACGCGAAAAACCUUACCUACCCUUGACAUGUAUCGAAGCCCGCAGAAAAGCGGGGGUGCCCGAAAGGGAACGAUAACACAGGUGCUGCAUGGCUGUCGUCAGCUCGUGUCGUGAGAUGUUGGGUUAAGUCCCGCAACGAGCGCAACCCUUGUCAUUAAUUGCCAUCAUUUAGUUGGGCACUUUAAUGAGACUGCCGG
rnacentral:rRNA from 1 species